CUUUAUCGGCUAAAUUGACCAUCUUUCAUCCACUUUUGGACCACGUGGCAGGUAUAAAACUUGUUCCUCUUGUUGAGCACUAUCUUCUUGUAAAAUUUGGUAGAAUUUAGAGUUAUUUGAAAAGGUGGGUUUCCGGUCGCCGGAAACCGCAGUGUGCGGCGGCACAUGGAUCAAGACCUGACCUGCCCAUCCUAGGUUAAUUUGGAUGCCUGAUUCCAUAUUUGACACCUGAUUGACGAAAUUCCAUUGUUUUGAGUAUUAUUUCGUUAAAGUCCGUCACUCGAAUAUUAUAACGACGAUCCGACCGUUGGAUCGUCACUAAACUUUAAUACAUUAUGGUACAUAAUAUUUAAGGACCAUAGGAACUUAUGGAUCGGCAAUCUGACUUACAAAUCUUUUCGAAUUGGAUUUGUAAGUUCAUAAAAUAAAACGUUGACCGCCACUUGAAUUUGCAAUUGGCGAAGAUCCAACUAUUUGGAUCGUAAUGAAACUUUAGUAUAAUGUUCUAGAAGCAUAAUGUGUAUUUUUGGAAACUACGGAUCGGAAAUCCAAGGUACGGAUCUUUCGAAUUGAGUUACGUAGGGUUAUGGACCCUACAGCCGACCUUUAAUCGACAAUUGAUUUUUGGGUAAUGGGUUUCAAAUCAUUUUAGAAUGUCUUUGGGAAUGUGUUUUAUGUAAGUUACGUGUUCUAUCGAUAAGAAUUAUGAGAUGUGAUUUGAUAAUUGUUCUAGGCACCGAUUAUUUGUGACACUUCGAUAUUCGUGCUAGGGAGUUGUAGCGUGGACCUCAGAUGAAUGGGACUUUUCCUUUUUAUAGUGUGUAUAUAUAUAUGUGAUUGAUAGUUUCCACAAAUGCUUUUUAAUUGAUUUAUGCACUUCAUGCCAUGAUUAAAUUAUGUUAUGAGAAAUGUUGCACUGUUGUGAAGUACCAAGAUGAUCAUACGGGAUGUGUGAUGUGAAAUAUUCUAACACACAAAUUAAACCCUAUUAAGAUAGUUGUAGUAUAUGAAAGUAGGGAUCGUUCUAGGCCAAGGAUUAUGAUGCGAGAAUUACUUGACACACAAAUUAAACCCUCUUUAUGACAAUUGUAGUAUAGAUGUAAGUAGGGUAUCGUUCUAGGCCGGGGAUUAGGAGGGAUUGCUAAUCUAUUCUA
rnacentral:lncRNA from 1 species